CCUACGGGGGUCAGCAGUGGGGCAUAUUGCACAAUGGGGGAAACCCUGAUGCAGCAACGCCGCGUGAAGGAAGACGGUUUUCGGAUUGUAAACUUCUAUCAAUAGGGAAGAAGGAAAUGACGGUACCUAAUUAAGAAGCACCGGCUAACUACGUGCCAGCAGCCGCGGUAAUACGUAGGGGGCAAGCGUUAUCCGGAAUUACUGGGUGUAAAGGGAGAGUAGGCGUGAAGGUAAGCGAUAUGUGAAAGCCUUAAGCUUAACUAAAGGAUUGCAUAACGAACUAUCUAGCUAGAGUACAGGAGAGGAAAGCGGAAUUCCUAGUGUAGCGGUGAAAUGCGUAGAUAUUAGGAAGAACACCAGUGGCGAAGGCGGCUUUCUGGACUGAAACUGACGCUGAGGCUCGAAAGCGUGGGGAGCGAACAGGAUUAGAUACCCUGGUAGUC
rnacentral:rRNA from 1 species